GGAAUUAUUGGGCGUAAAGAGCUCGUAGGCGGCUUGUCGCGUCUGCUGUGAAAGCCCGGGGCUUAACUCCCGGGUGUGCAGUGGGUACGGGCAGGCUAGAGUGCAGUAGGGGUAACUUGGAAUUCCUGGUGUAGCGGUGAAAUGCGCAGAUAUCAGGAGGAACACCGAUGGCGAAGGCAGGUUACUGGGCUGUUACUGACGCUGAGGAGCGAAAGCAUGGGGAGCGAACAGGAUUAGAUACCCUGGUAGUCCAUGCCGUAAACGUUGGGCACUAGGUGUGGGGGACAUUCCACGUUUUCCGCGCCGUAGCUAACGCAUUAAGUGCCCCGCCUGGGGAGUACGGCCGCAAGGCUAAAACUCAAAGGAAUUGACGGGGGCCCGCACAAGCGGCGGAGCAUGCGGAUUAAUUCGAUGCAACGCGAAGAACCUUACCAAGGCUUGACAUACACCGGAUCGUUCCAGAGAUGGUUCUUCCCUUUUGGGCUGGUGUACAGGUGGUGCAUGGUUGUCGUCAGCUCGUGUCGUGAGAUGUUGGGUUAAGUCCCGCAACGAGCGCAACCCUCGUUCUAUGUUGCCAGCACGUGAUGGUGGGGACUCAUAGGAGACUGCCGGGGUCAACUCGGAGGAAGGUGGGGAUGACGUCAAAUCAUCAUGCCCCUUAUGUCUUGGGCUUCACGCAUGCUACAAUGGCCGGUACAAUGGGUUGCGAUACUGUGAGGUGGAGCUAAUCCCAAAAAGCCGGUCUCAGUUCGGAUUGGGGUCUGCAACUCGACCCCAUGAAGUCGGAGUCGCUAGUAAUCGCAGAUCAGCAACGCUGCGGUGAAUACGUUCCCGGGCCUUGUACACACCGCCCGUCAAGUCACGAAAGUUGGUAACACCCGAAGCCGAUGGCCUAACCCU
rnacentral:rRNA from 1 species